AGAACGAACGCUGGCGGCGUGGAUAAGACAUGCAAGUCGAACGCGAUUUAUCGGGUUAGCAAUAACUUGAUAAAUUGAGUGGCGAAAGGGUGCGUAACACGUGGGAAUUUACCAAGAAGUGGGGAAUAGCUCGACGAAAGUCGAAUUAAUACCGCAUACGAUCGCAAGAUCAAAGCCGGGGACCGCAAGGCCUGGCGCUUUUUGAGAAGCCCGCGGCCCAUCAGCUAGUUGGCGGGGUAACGGCCCACCAAGGCUAUGACGGGUAGCUGGUCUGAGAGGACGACCAGCCACACUGGAACUGAGACACGGUCCAGACACCUACGGGUGGCAGCAGUCGAGAAUUUUUCACAAUGGACGAAAGUCUGAUGGAGCGACGCCGCGUGGAGGAUGAAGGUUUUCGGAUCGUAAACUGCUUUUCUCGGGGACGAGAACGGACGGUACCCGAGGAAUCAGCCCCGGCUAACUACGUGCCAGCAGUCGC
rnacentral:rRNA from 1 species